rnacentral:rRNA from 1 species
AGAGUUUGAUCCUGGCUCAGGAUGAACGCUGGCGGUAUGCUUAACACAUGCAAGUCGAACGAAUCCCUUCGGGGAUGAGUGGCGGACGGGUGAGUAACGCGUGAGAAUUUACCAAAAGGACUGGGACAACCACUGGAAACGGUGGCUAAUACCGGAUGAGCCGAAAAGUAAAAAGGGAAACCUGCCUUUUGAAGAGCUCGCGUCUGAUUAGCUAGUUGGUGAGGUAAGAGCUCACCAAGGCAGCGAUCAGUAGCUGGUCUGAGAGGAUGACCAGCCACACUGGGACUGAGACACGGCCCAGACUCCUACGGGAGGCAGCAGUGGGGAAUUUUCCGCAAUGGGCGAAAGCCUGACGGAGCAAUACCGCGUGAGGGAAGAAGGCUCUUGGGUCGUAAACCUCUUUUAUCAGGGAAGAAAAAAAUGACGGUACCUGAAGAAUCAGCCUCGGCUAACUCCGUGCCAGCAGCCGCGGUAAUACGGAGGAGGCAAGCGUUAUCCGGAAUUAUUGGGCGUAAAGCGUCCGCAGGUGGCUUAUCAAGUCUGCUGUCAAAGAGUGGGGCUUAACCCCAUUAAGGCAGUGGAAACUGAGAAGCUAGAGUGCCGUAGGGGUAGAGGGAAUUCCCGGUGUAGCGGUGAAAUGCGUAGAGAUCGGGAAGAACAUCGGUGGCGAAAGCGCUCUACUGGACGGCAACUGACACUCAGGGACGAAAGCUAGGGGAGCGAAUGGGAUUAGAUACCCUAGUAGUCC